rnacentral:tRNA from 1 species
GGCCGUGUGGAAAUGGCAUCGCGUCUGACUACGAAUCAGGAGAUUGCAGGUUCGACCCCUGUCUCGGUCA